GGCUAUAGCGUUGGUGUUCACCUCUUACCAUUCCGAACAGAGAAGUUAAGCCCAACAGCGCUGAUGGUACUGGGUUCGCCCUGGGAGAGUAAGUCGUUGCCAAUU
rnacentral:rRNA from 1 species